AUGAAGCAGGGGACUUGGCGAGCAAAGCGCUCGUCCUCCUCCCGGGACAAAAGCAGGGGAGGCCGAGGCUUCAUGGCCGGAGAACGGCAGCGCAGAAGGGAACUUGGGGCGCCGGCAGCGCCAAGAACGGCGAAGGCGGGUGGAUCCGGUGGGUCGGUGCCGGGUCCGGGCAAACGGCAGCACGGAAGGAGGAGCUCUUGGGCGGAGAUGCUGGUGUUUCCCCAUGGCGGCUCCUAUGAGGAAAAACAGCAAGAGGAAGCGAGAUGUGAGAGGAGAAGUAUGGAACCGGGAAAGAAAAGGGAAUGGAGAGGGAGAGAUGGCGCGACAGAGGGUGGAGGCGCACGGGAUGCGGCUUGGAGCAGAUCGGGCGCGAGCAAGGAAGGGGAGGCAUCUCCCAUCGAUGGUCAUGGUGGCGGUCAUCGAUUCCUGAUCCUGACGAAGAGAAGCAGAGGCAGGCUCCAAUCCAAGGCGGGGACGGUUGGCGUCGGGCAGAGGAAGGCACCCGAGGCCUUGAGCGAGGCGACGAGGAGAAAACUGCGCCGGGAGGCUCCUGUCGCUGGUGGCAGGGAAGAUUGA
rnacentral:rRNA from 1 species